UUCCUCUCUCUCUCUUCUCUCUCUCUCUCUCUCUCUCUCUCUCUCUCUCUCUCGGUGAUGGCGGUCGCGCUGUCUUCUCUCCUCUCCCUUCGCCCCUCCUCUUCGCCUGCAGCUUCCACGGCCCGGACCGCCAUCUGCCCAGUUCACCUCCCAGCUAACCGGAACAGCUCCUCCUCUUCACUCUCUUCUCGCCGCCAUCACCACUCGCUCUUCUCACGUUCAACCACCAUCUACAGAAGGCCGACGAUCGCCGCCGCCCACCGCCUCGCGGUGCCUCUCAUCUCCCCCGACGACCAAUGGGGCAACUGGACCGCCCUCUUCGCCGCCGGCGCCUUCGGCAUCUGGUCGGAGAAGACCAAGGUAGGGAGCGCGUUGAGCGGCGCGCUGGUGAGCACCUUGGUCGGGCUAGCGGCGAGCAGCGCCGGCAUCAUCGCCUCCGAUGCGUCCGCCUACCGGGUGGUGCUGGACUACUUGCUCCCGAUGGCCGUGCCUCUGCUGCUCUUCAACGCGGACCUCCGCCGUGUCCUCAGGUCCACCGGGACUCUGCUCCUUGCGUUCUUGGUCGGAUCUGUGGCCACGACAAUUGGCACCGUAGUAGCAUAUCUUCUGGUGCCCAUGCGAUCACUCGGACAGGAUAGUUGGAAGAUUGCAGCAGCCUUAAUGAGCAGACACAUUGGCGGAGCGGUCAAUUAUGUUGCUGUUUCGGAGGCUCUUGGUGUUUCCCCUUCAGUUCUAGCUGCAGGGCUAGCCGCAGACAAUGUUAUAUGUGCAGUAUAUUUUACCUCUCUGUUUGCGUUAGCCUCUAGAAUACCUCCAGAAGUUUCUACAACUGUAAAUGAUGCUCGGAUGGACUCCGAAACAAAGGCAGGAAAUAAGCUACCUGUGUUACAAAGUGCUACAUCCAUCUUUAUUUCCUUUGCAAUCUGCAAAGCAGCUACUUUUAUAACCAAAUAUUAUGGUAUUCAAGGUGGAAAUCUUCCAUGCAUAACGGCAAUCGUUGUGGCCUUGGCAACCAUAUUUCCAUCACAAUUUAGUGGCCUUGCUCCUGCAAGUGAAGCUAUGGCUUUGAUUUUGAUGCAGGUUUUCUUUGCUGUUGUUGGAGCAAAUGGUAGUAUUUGGAAUGUGAUUAACACAACACCUGGCAUCUUUGCAUUUGCUUCGGUCCAAAUAGCGGUGCAUCUUGCCAUAAUUCUUGGACUCGGAAGACUACUUGGAUUUGAGCAGAAGUUGCUUCUGAUAGCAUCAAAUGCCAAUGUUGGGGGACCUACAACGGCUUGCGGAAUGGCAACCGCCAAAGGUUGGACCUCUUUGAUAGUCCCUGGGAUUCUCGCAGGCAUUUUUGGAAUUGCAAUCGCGACCUUUCUGGGCAUUGGAUUUGGGUUGUUUGUCCUUCAGAAGAUGUAGAACCCUUCGAGCAUGGACUUGCUAGAGGAGCUCACUGAGAAUAAUUUGUGGUGCACUCUCGGCUUCAUCUGUGUGUCUCCUAAUACUCCUUGGUUGUCACCUUCCAGAAUGGACUUGCUAGAGGAGCUCACUGAGAAUAAUUUGUGAUCUGAGUCUUAGGAAUCCUUUACCCUAAGGGCGAGCAGAAGUUUACGGUAAUAUUAUUUCUUUGUGAAUUAUUGUUACAUCAUUCUUUCUAAUAUACCCGAAGGGCGAGCAGAAAUUUACGGUAAGAUUACUUCUUUGUGAAUUAUUGUUGCAUCCUUCUUUCUAAUUUACCCGAAGGGCGAGUAGAAGUUUACGGUAAGAUUACUCAUUAUUUGUGAAUUAUUGUUCAUCCUUCUUUCUAAUUUAUCCGAAGAGCUAGUAGAAGUUUAUGGUAAGAUUACUUCUUUGUGAAUUAUUGUUGCAUCCUUCUUUCUAAUUUACCCGAAGGGUAAUUUACCCGAAGGGUGAGUAGAAGUUUACGGUAAGAUUACUUUUUUGUGAAUUAUUGUUCUAUCCUUUUUUUUCUAAACCGUAGGAAUCUAAGUUGCAAAUCAAUUUAUUACUGAGAAUAAGAUUACUUCUUUGUCAAUUAUUGUUGCAUCCUUCUUUCUAAACGGUAGGGAUUGCAUUGCAUCCUUCUUUCUAAACUGUAGGGAUCUAAGAACUGUAGGGAUCUAAGUUGCAUAUCAAUUUAAUACUGAGAAUAAGUGACAGGUUCUUAAGAUAAACUAUUAAAGUCUUUACCAGUUAAACUAACUGUUAUCUUGGCAUGUUCUCAAGCAUGAUGGCAUCCAUUAGCCACAACACUAAAACGUAAAACCAAGCAGAAGUUUCUCAGUCUCAUUCAAUCCAAAGUUACAACCCUUACAAGCAACCAGCAACAAAAAAUUUUGCUGGUAAUUCAAGUCAGAAGAAAGGGAGCAGAUAUUACACAUCAAAAUCAACCCACACCAGUAGGAUUUUGAUCCUUCUUCUCUCAAGCCUCCAAUCCAACCAAGGAAGUGCUGCAGUGAACAGGUUGCAGACCCUUCUCUCUCUCUCUCUCUCUCUCUCAAGCUCCAAACUCCUUUGGAACACUCAAGAGUACCCUCAAGAAAGCUUCAUGUCACGCUCUCCCAAGCCUCA